UACAGAGGUCCCAAGCGUUGUUCGGAUUCAUUGGGCGUAAAGGGUGCGUAGGUGGCGCGCUAAGUCGGGUGUGAAAUUUCGGAGCUUAACUCCGAAACUGCAUUCGAUACUGGCGUGCUUGAGGACUGGAGAGGAGACUGGAAUUCAUGGUGUAGCAGUGAAAUGCGUAGAGAUCAUGAGGAAGACCAGUGGCGAAGGCGGGUCUCUGGACAGUUCCUGACACUGAGACACGAAGGCCAGGGGAGCAAACGGG
rnacentral:rRNA from 1 species